UACGGAGGGCGCAAGCGUUGUUCGGAAUCAUUGGGCGUAAAGCGCGUGCAGGCGGCUUGGUAAGUCGGGUGUGAAAUCCCGGGGCUCAACCCCGGAACUGCAUCCGAUACUGCCUCGCUCGAGUCCCGGAGAGGAUGGCGGAAUUUCCGGUGUAGAGGUGAAAUUCGUAGAUAUCGGAAGGAACACCAGCGGCGAAGGCGGCCAUCUGGACGGUGACUGACGCUCAGACGCGAAAGCGUGGGGAGCAAACAGG
rnacentral:rRNA from 1 species